rnacentral:ncRNA from 1 species
CUGGCGGGACGACCCGUCAGCAUUUCUUCAUCCGGGGACGGCCCC